UGGGUAGUAGCAAAAUAGAAGCAGUAUUUUGUUCUGGUGCUUAACAGUUAGUAGCGUUUUGCUUCUUACCCAUAUUUUGGGAUUUACGGAAUUUUAGGCCACAUGUGUCACCACUGUGGCCAAUAUUAGAUUAGAAUUUAUUUCCAUAUAAAAAAACCACCGUACCAAGUUGUAACAGCCAUAACAUCUAGCUGUUUUAAUUUUUUCCUUUAACUACGAGCAUUCGUUGUCCACUGGACCACUCACACUCCUUCCACAGUUCCACCAAGGAAUCAGGAGCAUUUCUUGCUACUGCGUAUUUAUUCAACUACGCCAGCAGACCGCAAAAGACCUCGGACUCCAACCUAC